CCUACGGGGGGCAGCAGUGGGGAAUAUUGGACAAUGGGGGCAACCCUGAUCCAGCCAUGCCGCGUGUGUGAAGAAGGCCCUCGGGUUGUAAAGCACUUUCAGUGAGGAAGAACGCCUGGUGGUUAAUACCCAUCAGGAAAGACAUCACUCACAGAAGAAGCACCGGCUAACUCCGUGCCAGCAGCCGCGGUAAUACGGAGGGUGCAAGCGUUAAUCGGAAUUACUGGGCGUAAAGCGCGCGUAGGUGGCUUGAUAAGCCGGUUGUGAAAGCCCCGGGCUCAACCUGGGAACGGCAUCCGGAACUGUCAAGCUAGAGUGCAGGAGAGGAAGGUAGAAUUCCCGGUGUAGCGGUGAAAUGCGUAGAGAUCGGGAGGAAUACCAGUGGCGAAGGCGGCCUUCUGGACUGACACUGACACCGAGGUGCGAAAGCGUGGGUAGCAAACAGGAUUAGAUACCCUUGUAGUC
rnacentral:rRNA from 1 species